rnacentral:misc_RNA from 12 species
UCUCCGUGGCUGUGCAUCGAACUGCUUCCUUCACUUUCGAUCAAGUUUUGCUUCAUGAACUGAUGUGGAUGCAAAAGGCGGGUUCCUGUGCUGCAUACCCUAUUGAGACGGAAAUUUGUGCCUAUUGUUGUCUAUUUCAACACGACACCCCUAUGGGUGCUCGGUUGGACCAGAUAGUGGGGCUUGCGUUCCUCGAACACAUCUCAGUUGAUUGUUCGGAUGGAUCGCGAGUGCUUUACUUGUUCUCUCGGAUGCGGAACUUUUUUCGUGGGUCUGGGGUCAUCGGCCCUUGUUCCCAAUCUCAAGCGUUUAUCGCUUUCAUCGGAAUGACGCUCUGGCCUUGUUUUUGACCGUACGUGGAGCUCUUGGGCUUUUCACGAUGGAUCAUAUGCUUGGCGGACGUCGUGAAGGAAUGCUACCUGGUUG